ensembl:misc_RNA Metazoa_SRP Metazoan signal recognition particle RNA
GCUGGGUGUGGUGGCUCACACCUGUAAUCCCAGCACUUUGGGAGGCUGAGGCAGGUGCAUCACCUGAGGUCAGGAGUUCAAGACCAGCCUGGCCAACAUGGUGAAACCCUGUCUCUA